GUCGGGAUAGCUCAGCUGUAGAGCGAGAU
rnacentral:tRNA from 1 species